rnacentral:rRNA from 1 species
GUGGGGAAUCUUGCACAAUGGGGGAAACCCUGAUGCAGCGACGCCGCGUGAGCGAUGAAGCCCUUCGGGGUGUAAAGCUCUUUCGGCAGGAACGAUAAUGACGGUACCUGCAGAAGAAGCUGCGGCUAACUACGUGCCAGCAGCCGCGGUAAUACGUAGGCAGCGAGCGUUGUUCGGAGUUACUGGGCGUAAAGAGUGUGUAGGCGGUUUGCCAAGUUCGGUGUGAAAUCUCCCGGCUUAACUGGGAGGGUGCGCCGAAUACUGGCAGGCUAGAGUGCGGGAGAGGAGAGCGGAAUUCCUGGUGUAGCGGUGAAAUGCGUAGAUAUCAGGAGGAACACCUGCGGUGUAGACGGCUCUCUGGACCGUUUCUGACGCUGAGACACGAAAGCGUGGGUAGCAAACAGGAUUAGAAACCCGAGUAGUCC